UACGUAGGCAGCAAGCGUUGUUCGGAGUUACUGGGCGUAAAGGGUGUGUAGGCGGUUGUUUAAGUUUGGUGUGAAAUCUCCCGGCUCAACUGGGAGGGUGCGCCGAAUACUGAAUGACUUCGAGUGCGGGAGAGGAUAGUGGAAUUCCUGGUGUAGCGGUGAAAUGCGUAGAUAUCAGGAAGAACACCGAUGGCGAAGGCAGUUCUCUGGGACGGUACUGACGCUGAGACGCGAAAGCGUGGGGAGCAAACAGG
rnacentral:rRNA from 1 species